UGGACGGAUGCUCAUUGGCAGGGCGCUUAGCUGUUAACUAAGAAUGUGUAGGUUCGAGUCCUGCCUGUCCAG
rnacentral:tRNA from 1 species